rnacentral:rRNA from 1 species
GGGUCGUAUCAAUUUAAAAGACUGCUCGG